GCUACUUGGGAAUACUACUUGGCUUGGGACCGGGAGAGGUCAGAGGUACCUCAAGGGUAGGGGUGAAAUCCGUUAAUCCUUGGGGGACCACCAGUAGCGAAGGCGUCUGUCCAGACCGGAUCCGACGGUGAGGGACGAAGGCUAGGGGAGCGAAUCGGAUUAGAUACCCGAGUAGUCCUAGCUGUAAACGAUGCGGGCUAGGUGUUGGCAUUACUGCGAGUGAUGCCAGUGCCGAAGGGAAGCCGUUAAGCUCGCCAUCUGGGGAGUACGGUCGCAAGGCUGAAACUUAAAGGAAUUGGCGGGGGAGCACCACAACGGGUGGAGCUUGCGGUUCAAUUGGAUUCAACGCCGGAAAUCUCACCGGAGGAGACAGCGAGAUGAAGGUCAGGCUAAAGACCUUACUGGAUUAGCUGAGAGGUGGUGCAUGGCCGUCGGCAGUUCGUGUCAUGAGACAUCCUGUUAAGUCAGGCAACGGGCGAGACCCGUGCUCACAGUUGCCAGCAUCUCCGCAAGGAGGAUGGGCACUCUGUGGGGACCGCCACCGCUAAGGUGGAGGAAGAAGCGGGCCACGGUAGGUCAGUAUGCCCCGAAUCCUCCGGGCUACACGCGUGCUACAAUGGGUAGUACAAUGGGUAUCGACCCCGAAAGGGGAAGGUAAUCUCCUAAAGCUACUCUCAGUUGGGGUCGAGGGCUGCAACUCGCCCUCGUG
rnacentral:rRNA from 1 species